rnacentral:tRNA from 1 species
GCCACCUUAGCUCAGCUGGUAGAGCAGCUGAUUUGUAAUCAGCAGGUCGUUGGUUCGAGUCCGACAGGUGGCU